UAGGGAAUCUUCCGCAAUGGACGAAAGUCUGACGGAGCAACGCCGCGUGAGUGAUGAAGGUUUUCGGAUCGUAAAACUCUGUUGUUAGGGAAGAACAAGUACCGUUCGAAUAGGGCGGUACCUUGACGGUACCUAACCAGAAAGCCACGGCUAACUACGUGCCAGCAGCCGCGGUAAUACGUAGGUGGCAAGCGUUGUCCGGAAUUAUUGGGCGUAAAGCGCGCGCAGGUGGUUUCUUAAGUCUGAUGUGAAAGCCCACGGCUCAACCGUGGAGGGUCAUUGGAAACUGGGGAACUUGAGUGCAGAAGAGGAAAGUGGAAUUCCAAGUGUAGCGGUGAAAUGCGUAGAUAUUUGGAGGAACACCAGUGGCGAAGGCGACUUUCUGGUCUGUAACUGACACUGAGGCGCGAAAGCGUGGGGAGCAAACAGGAUUAGAUACCCUGGUAGUCCACGCCGUAAACGAUGAGUGCUAAGUGUUAGAGGGUUUCCGCCCUUUAGUGCUGCAGCUAACGCU
rnacentral:rRNA from 1 species